GUCCACGCCGUAAACGAUGUCUACUAGCCGUUGGGGUCCUUGAGACUUUAGUGGCGCAGCUAACGCACUAAGUAGACCGCCUGGGGAGUACGGUCGCAAGAUUAAAACUCAAAUGAAUUGACGGGGGCCCGCACAAGCGGUGGAGCAUGUGGUUUAAUUCGAAGCAACGCGAAGAACCUUACCAGGUCUUGACAUCCUGAGAACUUUCUAGAGAUAGAUUGGUGCCUUCGGGAACUCAGAGACAGGUGCUGCAUGGCG
rnacentral:rRNA from 1 species